UUCCUUACAGCCACCUCUCCCUACUUUCUUAUUUCUCUUCCUCACACACUCUCUCUUCUUUUUCUCUCUAAAAGGUGAGAAAAUUCUAAUAUUUCCGUUAUUUGAUCCUUUUUGAUUCAUCUCUAGAAUCCUCCUUGAAAGAAGAAGAUAAGGAUAAGGCUUUUUCGAUCGAUUAUAGAGUCAGGUUUUCUCCUUAUUUUCCAUGGGCUACUCUCUGUCACGCCCCGGGACCGGCAGGGGCCCUCCCGGUAGCGUGCCCAGACCCGCCAUAUGUCAGCACAUAUAAGGCGUCUACAACAACAGCGAAAAAUAAAACCAAAAGUAAUCUACAUCUAGAGAUAUCAGAGCACAGAUAGAUCUAUAGUCUAUAACAAGGUAAAAGAGGUAUACUAAAGCAAAACGAGUGAAACAUAAAGAUAUACAAUAUCUGUCCAAAAAGGUACACAAAAGGGUGGUCUCUAGUACACUGGUACAGCUCUCAACCUCUCCAAAAUAAAAAUAUCGAGAGGUAGACCACCUAGCGACUCGUCACUCGCUGAAGAGCUAGCUCGAAGCCACGCCCUUCCCUCGGUCCCUAGCCUCUCCCGGCGUGGAAGGCUCUGAAAGAAAACAUAAAACAGAGGGCGUGAGAACUAUAAUUUAUAGUUCCCAGUGGGCAAUUACUGACCUCAGCUCAAUGCACCACUAGGCCCCAAAAGAAAAGGGUAAGUAACGACAAUAAUAACAAACAAUAAAGAGCGAGUAUAAGAACUGCUGAAAGAAAGCAUAAAUGAAAUGCUAUACUACUAUGUCUCAAGUAAGCAUGAUGUCAUGGUGAUGUACAUCUACGCUAUCAUAAGAUAAUAUGUCCAAUGCAUACUAAUAUGCCAUAACAUAAUAAACAAGUAAACCUCACGAUGCAAUAUGUCAAUGCAUAAGGAGUAAGCUCUAUCAAAGCAACCCAGUAUACUAUGAUGCAAUGAAUGAAACAGGCAAGUAUACUAUAUAUCCCAAUGCUAUGUCAUGAGCAUGUCAAGUAAUCCAACUACUAAGCCUAUCUAGUAGUGAUUAUUCAUUCUCAACACUGUGUCGAUUUCCAUUUCCAAUUAAGGACCUACCAAAGGUAGUCCAGCUUGUGCCGCCUAAGUGCCUGUGGUAGCCCAACAUCCCUACUCUUGGAAUGUGUCUGUCCCACUCGACCCCGUAGGCUUCUCAAUACCGCACGAGCGAACAUAAGUCGCGUAGGCUAACUCCGGAGUGCCGGCUUGUAGGGAGCGACCCUCACAAGCAUGUGCGAAUGAGCACAAAUGGCAAGCAAGCAUAGUCCAAGUCUCAAGUAUCCAAUCCUCAUGUCUCUAACAUGGUAUAGUCACUAGCAUCUCGAAGAUCUAGUUCUAUGUCACAAAGUGAAGUUCCAAUGUUCUCUAGGUCUAGUGCCCCUUUAUGACACUUAGACAUUCAAUAUUUAAGCAUGUUCCACGUUCCUCAAUGGCCCUAUCCACUAGGUUCACACAUGUCCCGAGCUCAAUGCCGCUUGAUGACAUUAGCUCUCUAAUUCACAUACCUUCUAAAUGACAAUCUUGUCAAUUUUCAUGUCACAAGUAAAUGUAGGUUUACAUGCAUGAAUCCGAACUCAUUUAUACUAUAGAAGCAUGAUACCACGUCUCAUAUAGAAUGCUAAAUGCAACUAUGGCCUAAUAAGCUACUCUCUACUACAUAGAGGUCCAAAAUUUCAUCAUAUAUAACAUAGGCCUUUUAAGCAUUCUAAAAUUCACAAUAAAUACAUAUAACAAGAAUAUGUAUGCUUUUUCAUUUUACAACGCUUAAAUCAUCAACAAUGAGGUUUUCUCAUUGUGUGGCUAGGACAAACCCACCGAACCGUCACGUAGUGCCUCGAUCCGCCGAACGGAGUUGUCCACGAGUCUCCUAAUACCCUAAAAGUAUUCAGCGAAGAGAUACAAGGGCAUUACGAUCAACCAUUAGGUCAAACGUUAACAAACAAGGCAAAAGGGCUAAAACUCACCUCAAGAGAAGAAAUCUCUUCCAAAGCUCCAAAAGAGAGCUAGAACCCUUCCAAUCCAAGCCCAAGGAAGGUUCUAAACCAAAGAAUCUAGCCUCAAAAGCCCAAGAUUCAAAAUGCCCAAAGUUAACCCUAAAAUCCCAUUCUAGGGUUCCACCUACUAAAAAUCCUCAAAUCAAGAUCUAGAGGAAGGAAAUGAGCAACUAACCUCCUUAGAAGCUCCAAUCCAAGCUCCAAGGGUGAAGAUCUUCUCUCUUGCAAGCUCCAAGUCCAAGCCUUCAAGCACCAACGAAGUAGAGAGGGUGAGGAAGAUGCCCCAAGUCCACUAUUGCUCUCAAUCUUCUUCUUCCUUCCUUCUUCUCCUUCUCCUUCUUCUUCUUCUUCUCUAUCAAGGGUGUGGAAAGAGUUGAGAGAAGAGAAAUGAGGAGAAGAGAGAGUGGAUGGGUCAUAUAGACCAUCUAUUGCAACAAAAUCCAGCUAGGUUCCUCAAAAAUACAAAAUUGCAUCAGCCCGGUCUGGGCAAUUUUCGCCCAGAGGGACCGGUCUCUCCCCAGCAGGGACCGGUCUCUCGUGUCGCACCCGAGAAACCGUCGUUCGGGAACCGGUCUCUCCCUGCGCGGGACCGGUCUCUCACUGCGAAGACGCGCUCGGGGACCGGUCUCGCCCGCCAGGGACCGGUUGCCUCGCCGACAGCGCAACACUGCUCACUGGGGGACCGGUCUCUCCUACCAGGGACCGGUCCCCGAGAGUGAAAACUCUCAGGACUCGUCCAAAACUCGAGUUUUCGAACUUUUUAGGUCGGAAAACAUUCUACGACCCUCCACCAAGUGUGGAAGAGCUCGAAACACAUCCAAUCACUCGAACCUCGCAAUUUGCAAAGGUCCAGUGUGCUACACUCUCUUUCCUCACUAUAUGCCCAAGCCAAGUUUUUUCUCUCUGUGCUUGCAAAAUCAUGGUCGAAGUAGUUUGAGUCGGCGGCUUUCCUAGGAUUCCUUCAUCUGGGAUCCCUAGGGAAGAGGAUCAAGUUUGCUCGUGCAAAUAGCUUGAUGCACUGUCUUCUUUCCAUUCUUUGAGCGAAAUGUGGCAAAAUGAAGGAAACUAAAGAUUGUGAGGCCUUUCUACUACAUCAUAAUAAACUGGAAUUAGAUCUUGGAAAUGAUCGAUCCAAUAGAUGCUCAUCAUAAGCUUUUUUUUUCCCCUCCUAUUCGUAUUAAUCAAGUAAGCUAGGAAUUAUUUAUAUAAAGUAAGGCAUAAUGAUAGACUUUUGAGAAUAAGAAAGAAAGAGAAUGAGAAUAAGAAUAGACUCGUCUUCAGCCUUGAUGGCUGCAAGCGAAAUGGCUGCUCCCUAAGAAAGAGGUUUUCUCCUUAGGAAACCCCCUCACUUCUUUGCUACCGCUCAGGGAAAGCUUGAUUCGGGCUUGGGAGUAUGGAGAAGGCUGAGAGAACCAAAGAGAAGCUCUAGAAAGGAGAAGACAAGUACCAACCUAUAUUUCUUUGCUUGGAGAGGAAGAGGUGAGAUGAAGUUUUAGGGUUUGAUUUUUAGAGGUUUUCUAAAUGGAAGAUUUAUAUAGAGAGUCUACUUUGGUUAGGACUCUCUCUUAAAGAUAUCUUGGGGUUAACUAAAGAGAUCAAGAACCUGCUAGAUGUAUGCUCUAGAAGCCAACCAGGCCGACACAAAUAUUCUUUCUAGGACAUAAAUUUGUAUUUGAUUUUAAAAUAUUAUGAAUAUAUUUGGGUUUUUAUUUCCAUUCAUGUUGUGUAUGUGUCCAUGAAUCGUCCAAGGAAUUAAUAAGAUGAUGACAUAUAUUCUCAAGAGUUGAGAAUUUGAGACAUGUGUCAUUGAUGGUUAAUUCCGAAAUGCUCCCGAUUAAUGGAUCAUCACGGAGACAGUGAUUGAACCAGUGAGAUUGNUCGGUAAUCACUUUCUUUUUCCUUCGAUUUGUAAGUAUUCAUUAUACUAAGUAAAAUCUAGUAUAUGUAACGUAGGUAGAGAAUGUAAAUCCUAAGAAACGUAAAGUAAUGUAUUAAAGUAGUAAAGAAAGAAUGUAGUGUAAAUGGAGUUUUAUUCGAAAUGUAAAAAAAGAGAUGUAGUAAAUGGUAGUACAUGUUUUCUACUAGUAUCCCAUGAAAUGAUGUUUUACUUUGGGUUAAAACCACCGGAGACUGAUUCCGCGCUAUGGAAAUGGAGCCAGCGAGCGGCCGAGCGAGCCAGGGCCGAGACACCUUUAUCACCCCACUCUUGAUGUUGUUUCAAGGGUCACCCAAGCCGGAGUUGUAGUGGCUGAAAGGGUGAUCCUGAUUGAGUCCGUAUUAUCUUUCUUAUUCAUUGCUUACCCUCGUGUAAGCCGUUUGUGUAUGUUUCCGCUAGUGCUUUUCUCUUUUGAUGAAAAUGUACAUGUGAUGAGCCUUGGGCGGAUAGGAAAAACUCUGUCCGUUCGGCGUCUGUUUGACGUGCUCGGGUCGGGCCAAAUUGGCGUCGGUCCCGGGGCGUGACAAGCUGAGUUGCAUUUUUGCUUAAGUGCUGAAGUUUUGGAUGCAGGUUCUGCGCAUCUAGAAGUUGGGUCCGAAUUGGUAUGAGGGCUUUUUGGUGAUCAGUUCGAGCUCAAUUUUGGUGAGGAACCUAGAGAAUUUAUCUUUAGUCUUUUGAGGUGAGUUGGAUAAAGUUUCACUGCAUUUGGACUUCGAAAUUGGGUUAAAUUCCAUGUUGGAACCUUGUAGGCUGAAGCUGCCAGCUUGCUGUUCUGGAUCCUUGAUCUGGGCGCCCUGAAGUUGCUGCAGGAGGAUCCAGAUCUGGACAACAGCCUGGUUUAGCUUGUUUUGAGGCUGAUCUUUUGCAAGGUUUUCUCCAUCGACUUCUAGCCAUUGUUGGACUAGCAUUUCAGGUGGAUUGAUAUUGUCCGAAGCCUUCAGAAUGACUCCUAAGCAUAUGAAAUCCCAGCAUGCAUAGUUUUACAUAUACUCAUCUUGUUUGAUAGCUCAAAUUGUAGAUUUACAUGUUAUUAAUGAAAUCUAAAUUUUGGAGCAUACUUAGUUAAUUUAUGAUGAUUAUUAUCUGCUGAACUGGGAUUUGACUUAGGAGAAAACUUAUUAAACCUACACCUGUCACUUUUCGAAAAGUUACCAGAUUUAGCUUUAGGAGCUGAUUUUUCUUGUGUAUCGCCGCUAUUAGUGCGUCGUGGAUACUUAGACUAGUGUAGGUUGAGAUUAUGCUCGUGCUGAGGGACCGAGCUCGUUUUUACAGCAGAGAUAGGCUGUUUUGUACUAUCGAGUAUCGUCGGGGCUGACAGUGGACCCAAAUUCUUACAUCUUGUAUCAGAUUGUGCCAAGGGCACGUGAGCCUUGGUUGUUAGACCAGUUUAACCCAUUUGUAUUGACUAUAGCCUGUGUGAGCUUGAUUUUGCUUGUGAUGCAUGUAUAUGUCUACAGAGAGCAUGUUAUGGAUAGCGAUAGUAUAGUGGCUUUUAGUUGUAGAGUUUUUUUUAGCUUAAUUUACUAUCCCUUUACCUAUCUGUUUACUUCUCGUACUGUAGACUUAGUGGGUAGGCCGAUGGGGUCGGUGACGGUACCCACUGAGGACUACUCUAUUUUGCAAUAGUUCUCACACCCAUUGUUGCCAUUUUUUCUUUGCAGAGCCUUCAGUUGCUGCUGCUGCUACUGCUGAUUGAGGUAAGGGAGUCACGGACUAGAUCUCUAUCCUUUCCGGUCACCUUACCAGUGGAGUACCCAUGCCAGAGGUAGUUUUGGAUGUUCCCAUGUACAUACAGUUGUAUUUAGCUUUACUCUCUGAGAGAUGUGGAUGUAUUUUGGAUGUUGGAUAGUCAGGGUUAUAUUUUGGAAUUUGUAUGUACAGUGGGCCUUUGUAUGUAUAUAUAUAUAUAUAUAUAUAUAUAUAUAUAUAUAUAUANCAAAAGGAGUAAGCUCUAUCAAAGCAACCCAGUAUACUAUGAUGCAAUGAAUGAAACAAGCAAGUAUACUAUAUAUCCCAAUGCUAUAUCAUGAGCAUGUCAAGUAAUCCAACUACUAAGCCUAUCUAGUAGUGAUUAGUCAUUCUCAACACUGUGUCGAUUUCUAUUUUCAAUUAAGGACCUACCACAGGUAGCACAGCUUGUGCCGCCUAAGUGCCUGUGGUAGCCCAAAAUCCCUACUCUUGGAAUGUGUCUGUCCCACUCGACCCCGUAGGCUUCUCAAUACCGUACGAGCGAACAUAAGUCGCGUAGGCUAACUCCGGAGUGCCGGCUUGUAGGGAGCGACCCUCACAAGCAUGUGCGAAUGAGCACAAAUGGCAAGCAAGCGUAGUCCAAGUCUCAAGUAUCCAAUCCUCAUGUCUCUAACAUGGUAUAGUCACUAGCAUCUCGAAGAUCUAGUUCUAUGUCACAAAGUGAAGUUCCAAUGUUCUCUAGGUCUAGUGCCCCUUUAU
rnacentral:lncRNA from 1 species